CAGAAAGUUACGUUUACUUAAAUGUAGCUUUGUGUUCACCUAGCCUUCACACCAGAGCUAUGACACAUAGCCUCCCCCAGCAAAAACUUAAAGCAAAUCUUUAGAAGAUUUUCCCAAAUCUUCUGUGGAAUUGCUCUUAUAGGAAAUAUGGGGUGGCAAGAAACCCACAAGGUUAAAAUCAGAGCCACGGCAAACAAAUCUCUCCCAUAUCUGCAAAACAAAACCAGAUUCAGGGUGACUGGAAAGAUGGACUAAGCUCGGAAUUUGUAAUGAAACAAGGAGGAACAAAGCCUAAAGCAGCAGAUCCAGCAAAGCACUUAACCAAGGAGUUGAGCAAGGUCAUCUCCAGAAGAAAUAAAGUACUUGGCUGGA